AGGAAAAGAAAGUACAAAUCUCACAUCUCAUAUCAAUCCCUGUCUCUGUACCUUCCUACUGAAAAUAUCAUAUCAUGAAAUCAGGACCGGACUUCCAUGGCCAGAAACAAAAAGAAAAAGGCCAAGAAAGAGAAGAAGAAGAAGAAGAAGGAGAAGAAGAAAGCGUAAUAAGGCCGUACUUAUCAACUCUUUCAAGCACUAAACAGUGGCAAUGGCGGAUUGCAGCUCAAGGCCGUACCACUAGCUGGUUCUUUGUAAGUACCCCUUGCUACCUGCUGCCGGACUUCCCAUCUACUUCAUUCCUUAGUGAUGCUAUCAAUAACUUAUCAAUUGCUUACGCCUCUCUAAAUUCAACAACUACACUUGUCGGGAAUUCUAGUAAUUAACCACACAAUUCUGAUAUAUCUAUUGCCGCGUGAUUGUGUUCCUGGACAGUAACGCCACAGUAAAACCCUAGAUUUAGCCAUUAUCCGAUACUCCUUCCAGCCUUGAUUUUGUUCCAACUGGCAGGCAAAACGAGAAUUCAACAAUUUCAAGUCUAGCUAGACAGUAUUAUUGCAUUACUUCCGAGUCUGAUGAAACUCUUCACUGUACUACUACUGUCAGAGUUUGGCCCCGUCAGAUUCUUCAAUUAGGGGGUAUUGAUAUAGUACAUAGCUGGUAAACAUACAGAUAAUAAGCUUCUCAGCUAGGGAAAAAACCUACUAGGUGCGAUCUGCGAUCAUACACGCAGCCCAAGCUCUGUUUUGAAUAAUUUUUUGACAGCAUGAUAUGAACUUGCAUCUGUAUGGACGGUUAAGCUUGCAGCACUACUGUCUGUAAAUGCUGUUCUACCAAGCUUACAGCAGAUAUAUAGGCGGUCGACGUAUAUCUGAAAGCAUAUAUAUAACUGAACACAGCAUCACAAUAGAUAUAUACGCUGCUGCUGCAACACAUGAUAGAAAGUACAAGUUUGAGUGAGAAUGAUCAGAUUUACUAAUUUGUAGAAGCUAAAUACUAAUUAUUAGUCAGAUUGUGUCAUGUAUCUGCAUUGCAUACUGCACAGGUCAGGUUCCUUAUCCCUACACAAGUACAUCACACACAAAAAUUGCCUAUAUAUACAAUUAUAGUCAAGGAUAAGGGUACCAAGAGACGAGGUGUCAGUGAUGUCACUGGUAAGGUCCAGCAACUAAGAACUCCAUUCCAUCCUUUUUAUAUAUCCAUGGUAUAAUGAAGCUGUAGAGGAGUUAGCAAAAGGAGAAGGAAAUAUAUAUAUAUUUAGACUCCCUCAAACAAACCUUAUAUAGAACAUUAACAUGUGAAAAAGGAUAUAGCGAGAUUGAAAUGACAUGCUUGUGAAUCGUGCUAGAUAUUCUUGUCUGAUGAAGCUACAGCCGGACCCCAACACCUACACCGAAGCAUUGACUAAACCGUUGGCUACUCUAGACUGCAUGCUCGCGAUACCAACACCUGUAAGUUGUUAGUUUGUGUUACUUGGUACAUACUCAUGAGAAUGUUUUUCGGUAGCUGUUAAACGAUAGUUAGGAAGCUGCAGGCAGAACUUUUAGACGUAUUCCGUACGAUUCACUUUAUAAGCACAAUGUAAACAAACUACAGAGAGAGCUUCCUCACAAUUAGGUCGUCAGUACUGUAAGGUAGUUUAGUCACAAAGCUAUUUUUCAGUUUACAAAUCAUCCUUAAGCAUCAUGCUAAGUCAAUAGGCCAAAGAAAGAACAAGUGCAUCAAUUUCAUCAAAACAUGGAAUAAAAACUGCUGCUGGAGGACAUCUAAAGAAACACAACCAACCUUUUUGUUUGAUGAAUAAACAGAAAAAGGAAAAGGGCUGUAUAUAUAUAGCUGCAGCCUGCAGUUGCCGAAACUCCGAAGAUGGAAAACGGAACUCUACGACAUUAGACGUUGUUAAACAAAUACAUGAAAAACAGAAGCAGCAGUUCAAUUAAUAGAUAUGCAAGUACUGUUAGCCAAGUUGCCUGCUAAGAUGUUUCGAAAUCUGCAUGUUUGAUUAGAUACAAACUACAAAGACAUUCCUUCCUUUAUCAGCAGUUGUAUAGAGUAGAACUUCUCGAAUAGUUGGAUAUACCAAGCUAGACUCACCGAUAUGUCAAUUUCACACACACACAGACAAAUAUAUAUAUCUAUAUGAUACAGCCUUUGUAGUUUUCAACUGAAGGGGUUGGUUUAGGUAAAGUUUGGCGUCUAGAAUCAUGUUUUCUAAGAAACUUGAAUCGAGGUUAGUUGAAAAAAAUUGAGUCGAGUUAACGAGAGGUUGUGGGAACAAAGUUGGACAGAGAUGUAAAAGAUUCCAAGCAAAAUAUUUGUGUUUCCAAAACCAGUCAAGUGGAAUUUCCUAAAAAUCUUUCACAUCUCUUGAUUCAACUUUCCUUCCACAAACCCUCUCAACCUCAACUAAACUUCCUUUCAACUUUCUUACGAAACAUGCAUGAUUCUAGAUGCCAAACCUUACCUUAAGGGUAAGUGCCGAAUCGCAGCUCGACAUCGUCAUAUCUGUCCAUUUGUCUAUAACGUUGUGAGUAUAUAAGUGUGUUUUGCAACUCGACUCAAUAUGGAUUUAAGUUGAAAACAUUCUCGACACAUAAUCUCUAGUAUACGUACAUACAAUAUAAUGUAAUACCAAAAUAAAAAUUUGUAGUGAAAAAAGAAAAAUUACAAAAUCCAACUAAAGAAAAAAGGGGAAAUUAAUAACGCAUGGCUUCCUAAUUAACCAAAGAAAUUCAGUCAUGAGGAAACACCUACUCAAAAUGUUCAACCCAAGUUAUAAUUAUCUAUUUACACAACAAAACAUGUCUUAAAGAAUAAAAAACCUUAAUAAAUUAGGAAAUGGUAACAGAAACAAUGGUGGUUUAAUUUUUCAAUCACCACAAGAUUAACUAGACCGGUAAUUAGUAGCAAUAACCCAUCAAUCUCUACCUUUUUAACGAGGGGAGGACCAAGAUCACGAACCAUCGUAGACAAGUCGAUUUAGACGGGAGGCUGGAGGUGCAUGGUAGUAUAUAUAGAUCAAUUAUGCAGAAACAACUGAGCUAAGUGCUAUUAUAGGCAAUGGAGGUUAGCAAGGUAAGAAUUGCAGUGCAAACUUAACAAGUCUGUCUGACACUUGAUAUGCAGACAGACAUUGGAAACAUUGGGUUUUGGCUUAUGGCAUAAUUUUGCAUCGCUUUCGAAAUCCAGAAACCCGAUAUUGCUAGUUGAUGGGUCCUCUCACAGUAGGGUUUGUAUGUAAAGGUAAUGAAACACAGAUAACAGUGGAAGUACUGUAGAUGGUUAUAAGUAUGUAGAUAGAUCACAGUAAUUAGGAUUCGCAUGCGCAACAAGUAAAAAUAGAUCAUGCAAAUGCUAUCAUCUGCAAGCAACUUGGCAUUGGCUUCCCCCCCGGGGCGUAAGGACCAGACUAGAAAACCCACUAGCUUAGCUUAAUUAGCUUACGUGAAUGGUCCCAUGCCAUGUGGGGUAACAGUAAAAUUGCCGCUAAUGUGUACAGUAAUCUCUGUGCUGCUGCAUAUAUCAUCAAAAGCAACGCCUGCUGCUUAAUUAUAACUAAACAUAAACAAUAGUUUAUGUAAAUCUAAACAGUACCACAACCUCAAAAGAAAAUGAAAACCUUAAACCAAAGCAAAAACCCUCGGAGUCGUCAGUCAGUCCCCCACUAAAGCAACGAGUUGAGUUACCUGUUUCCCAGUAAGCACCACACUCGGUUUCCCUUUGCCAAACCAAACCCAAAACCCAACAGAAGUACUUGUGAAAGAGAGAGUUAAUAAUAACAAAUCUAAAACAAGAAGAAGAAGAAGAAGAAGAAGAAGAAGAAGAAGAAGAAGGAUGAGAAGCCGACAGAAAGAGAAGUGAGCACCUAAAAACAAUGGUAUAGAUUCAUAUAACAUAAUGGUCUCUAAGUGCUCACUCUCUUCUGUCAGUUUCUCCUUACUUUCACCCCUUACCCAGAAACAAAGAUCCCACCGGCCAGAUCUGAGCAACCAAAACAAAGGAAACAAGAGCUCAUCUUUCUGGCUUGCUUGCCUAGCCAGCUAGGGUUUAUAUAUGUAAUGACAAACUGAAAAAAAGAUAGAUAGACAUCCAAACGAAUCCAUGGAAGGUGAAGAGAAAGAAAGAAAGAAAAGUCUUCUUUCUGUGUGCUGUGAAAGCGAAGAAGCAAAUAGCAAUGCUUUGAGAGAAGAUGUAUAUAUCCGCGGCUACCAUAUCUAUCUAUCUAUCUGUCUACCUUAUCACGCCGUAGUUAUUAAGUAGUGCAAUUAUCUCUCCGCCCAUUACGCAAUUUUUAAUUAUUAUUAUUAUUAUUUUGAAUAAAGGGUGGAGGUUCUGAUUUCUGAUUUCUCUCUCCGUCAUGCAAAUCGCACAGGUGUCGAUACUUUUUAUCCCCAAAUGUCACACUUUUUCUUCUGCACCCAAAUAACAGCGACUAUUCCACUGUAACUACAUUUCUGACUACACAUUAUCAUACUGCUUUUUCUCAUGUUUUCUGCUUACAUGGAGACAUUUCUGGCGGUGAUUUAUAUUCCAUGUGGAAUCGGAAUUAAGUGAAAUUGUAGACUCGGUCAUUCCAUUGUGAUUUAUGAUUCCGUUUAUUUGAUCGACCUAAAAAUGAUUUGCACGGGUCAAUUGAACCGAACGUAAAUUUAAACGAAUGGAAACCGAUUUAGAGUAGGACAUAGGAGAACAAUUUGAUGGAUGAUCUUAUAGAUGAUGAAGAUUUAGAUGAAGUGACUAACCAUGUGGAAGGAGAAUAAUUUUAGUUAAAAUUUUCAAAUUUUAUCUCUUCCGAAAUUUUUAUUUUUU
rnacentral:lncRNA from 1 species